UCUUUAUCUCCUAUCGUCUAUCUCCUUUCUCUCUCAUUUCCUGGAUCCAUUUUCUGGAUCGUCUCUCUCUUUUCCCUCUCUCAAUUUCUGGAUCAACUUCUGGAUCGUCUCCCACCUUUCCCUCUUCUCUUUCACUUCAUAUUUUCUCGAUUUGUUGGAAACCACAGAAAAAAUCAACCUUAAUUUUCCAAAUUUGGAGAAAACUCACAAAAGUAAUUUAAUUAAUUCUGGGUUUUAUCAAGUUCAAUCAACUAAUGAGGAACAAAAAAUGGCGAUUAGAAACCCUUGGAUCUCGCACGCUUUAGCAGAUAUGGACCAUACUUCUCAAAUUUCACUAAUCCAUCAAUUAGAGCAAAGAUUGUAUGGUCCUUGCCAAUUCCAACAUUCUUCCCGGGAUGAAACUGAAAUGAACAUGUGAUGUUAGAGAUCAAUAUUGUGGAACAUCUGUUCAAAAGACUAUAUAAUCAGCAUAAAAGAGAGUUGCAAUCGCACGGACACUGAUGUAAUAUGUCACAAAAGCCGGUAAAUUGAGACCUACAUCCUAACAAAUAUUGGGUUGAAGGCUCGCAUAAAAGGGAAAUCGAAUUUUGGGUUUCGAUCAUAUUGGGACGGAUGGACUCUGUUGUUGCAACUGUUGACGAUAAAAAAAGGUGGGUUUUUUUCUCUCUUUCUUUUAUAAACUAAUAGAAUCUGAAAUUAGAGAUUAAAAUCAUACAACAUCUUAUUUAAAGAAAAGCAUGAUGUAAAAUCUGUAAUAACUAAUUAAAAUCAACAGAAGCAUGCAUAUUACUAUUUAUUUUUUGUUUAAGAGAUUG